UGCGUAGGCGGUGCGGUAAGUCUUCUGUGAAACCUCCGGGCUUAACUCGGAGCCUGCAGAGGAAACUGCCGUGCUGGAGUAUGGGAGAGGUGAGUGGAAUUCCCGGUGUAGCGGUGAAAUGCCUAGAUAUCGGGAGGAACACCUGUGGCGAAAGCGGCUCACUGGACCAUUACUGACGCUGAUGCACGAAAGCUAGGGGAGCAAACAGGAUUAGAUACCCUGGUAGUCCUAGCCCUAAACUAUGAUCGCUUGGUGUGACAGGUACCCAAUCCUGUCGUGCCGGAGCUAACGCGUUAAGCGAUCCGCCUGGGGAGUACGGUCGCAAGGCUGAA
rnacentral:rRNA from 1 species